ensembl:lncRNA
CUUAUUCACUGCGUACAGAAUCAGCCGUCUUAUCAUUCCAUCUUAGCAGACAUGGAGGCCAAACUGAUCGUGGCAGUUGUGUUCGUCUGUGCCGUUUGUCACGUCACUGAAGCCCAGCUGCAGACAACGACAUCACUCGGUACCAACAUCACUCUUACUGGUUGUGGCAGCACUAAGCUGUGUGUGUCGACUCCAUCUAAUUGCGAUCCUGCAGGAAACUCCAGCUGUUUUUUCAGCUCUACUCAGCUCAGUAAUGCAGUACUAACCGUGGAACUCUCCGGCACGACUUCAGGAUAUGUGGCGCUGGGACUCACACCCACUAGCAGCCAAACCCAGCAACUAAUUCAAGGAACUGCUGUGUUUGUCUGUGGCAACAAUAACAACAGCGCUUCUUCAAAACAGCUAUUCAGAAAGACCCAGCAUUGACUCCUGCUAACCUGACCGCCAUAAAUAUAACUAGUGUUCAGGGUUCAGUAACAAGAGACCAGAGUCUUAUUCAGUGUGUCUUCAACAUCACCCUCAAUUCCAUCCUCCUCAGUUCCAUCCUCAUCAAAGCAACUGUUCAGUUGUCUUUCAACAUCGCCAUCCUUAAUGGAAACACAAAUGGAACAGACCUGGGAAAUGCAGCUAUUGUAUUUAACUCCAAAGGAUCAUUAAACCUGGCAGACCCAAAGAGCAAUAUUCCAAAUCUCAGCGUCACUCGUAACAAUUGUGGCAGCACUAAGAAGUGUGUGUCGUUUCCAUCUAAUUGUGAUCCUGCAGGAACCUCCAGCUGCUUUUUCGUCUCAAUUCAGUUAAAAAACCAAAUGUUCUUCUUUGAACUCAGCGGCACAACGGCUGGAUAUGUCGCAUUGGGACUCAAUAAACAGGGAACUACCAUUUUGUUUGCCUGCAUCAAUAUCAGCAACAGUUUCUUCUUCCAAACAGGUAUUCAAAAAGGCCAAAUUUGGACCCCUGCUAAUGUGACCAUUGUGUACAACGUUCAAGGUGUAGUUGCACAAAACCCAAGUCUUAUUCACUGUAUCUUCAACACCAGUGCCAGUUUCACCAUCAGCAACAAAUCUGAUGAGACCUCAUUUAGUGUCUCCAUUCUGAGUGGAACCACCAAUGAAAUCCAACUGGGAAAUGCAGCUAUAAUGUUUGACUCCAAAGUACCAUUAAACCUGACUGAUCCCACUGGCCAGAACAGCAGCAACUCAAUCGUCAGCCGCUGGACUCAUGUGUUGGUUUUCCUGCUCAGUGCUCUGACUCUCCGUCUGCAAUAAAACCCAGCCUUGUUAAUGUUACCAUAAUUCUCAAGGUUAUUAGUUGUUUGUUUGUUUGUGCCAUGCAUGUGUUUGACUUUUACUAAGAUCUCAUUUGUAUACAUUCUGAUCUGUAAAUGUAACAUUAAAUAGAUGUUAAUUUACUGUACUCCUAUAAACAUUCAACAUUCUACUUUUACAUAUAGCAGUUUAAUCAGAGAUGAAAUGUAUUGAUUAAAAAAUCCUCGUAUAAGAAUUAAAUACGUAACCAAAGAUGUGAUAUUUUCACCCUGGGUUUAAGUGCAAUUGUGACUCAAAUCUGAUUUUCUGUGUUGAAAAGUCUCUGUGCAUUAAAAAAUACAGUCAUUUUCUUACGUACGUGUGUAUAUAAACACAAUAAACUUUCAGACUGC